rnacentral:lncRNA from 1 species
CUUAUGAAGAAUGCAUGAAGCCUAAGCCAACUCCUGCUCCUUACUAUUACAAAUCUCCACCUCCUCCAUCACCAAUAUAUAUUUACAAGUCACCUCCUCCUCCAUCACCAAAAUACGUAUACAAGUCUCCGCCACCACCGUCACCAAAAUACGUGUACAAGUCACCUCCUCCUCCAUCACCAAAAUACGUAUAUAAGUCACCGCCUCCUCCAACACCAAUGUAUGUAUACAAAUCACCACCUCCACCAUCACCAAAAUACGUGUACAAGUCACCACCUCCCCCAUCACCAAAAUAUGUCUACAAGUCACCGCCUCCCCCAUCACCAAAAUACGUAUACAAGUCCCCGCCACCACCAUCACCAAAAUACGUGUACAAAUCACCACCUCCCCCAUCACCGAAAUACGUAUACAAGUCGCCACCUCCUCCAUCACCAAAAUACAUAUACAAGUCCCCACCACCACCACCACCUUACUAUUACAAGUUCCCUCCACCACCAUCACCAUCUCCCCCACCUCCUUACUAUUACAAGUCUCCUCCACCAC